UCAAGAUCGAUCCAAUGGCUGAAAUCGACCCACUCAACUCUUUUCUUUUUAAGCUUAACCCCUAACCCCAGCCAUCAUUCUCACCAAAAUAGCCGCAGUCUCCCUUUUCUCUAUAUUUUCUCUUUCUCUAACCCGACGAAAAUCGCCGCUCCUUUGACCUCUACAUCUCCGCCGCCGACAAAGACACCACCAGCAGCUCAUAUCGGAUGAAACCAGCCAACCGUCGCCAUCCACCUCCGGCGCCGCUGCAAGCAGCCAUGCAGCCGGCGAUCCUCCCAACGCCGCUGCCACCUCCGAGGCCCUCCACCGACAACAAUAUCAACGACCAAGUCGCCAACAGUACCAAUGCCGCCGCCGCCUUCCACCAGCGUUGCCAGCAUCCAAGACGCCGUCCCUCACCGGCAACCGACACCAGCGAUCCAGCAGUCCGUACCACCACCAGGACACCAACAUCCACCCUUAUUCUUUAGAGCCACCAAAUCACCCGCCACCGCCACCCUUUCCACUUGUCCGACUCACCAAAAAAUCAUGAAGGAUUCGUAAUAGAUUCGUCCAGGUUCAAAAGCACGGGCUCCAGAGCACCCUUAGCAGUUCAGAUUCUCAGCUUUCAGAGUAGUGAUGAGUCCUCAUAGUUCAAGGACAUAUUAUUUACAGUACUUCAAUUUUAUUUCAAUAGAUGGAGUUAUUUGGGGGCUUUUCCCAUCAACUCCACAGUUCAGACAGUUAGACGUUUUUUCAGACUAGAGUACUUUCAGACAGUUGUUCAAUUUUUCUAUACUUAAAUUCAGUUUUGGUAUUUUGAUACCGCAUUCAGAUUUAUUUACAGAUUUGAACCUUUAUUGUAGCGGGGAUUAUGAGCACCAUAUAGCGUACAGGGUACAGACUCGGGGCAUUACAAAAAGGAAAUUUGGAUUAAUUGAUAUUUUUCUUUCCUUCUAUUUAUUUUGACUGAUUAUAUUAGUAAGUGUGAUCUUUAUAUUUAAGGCAA